CUGAAGGGUCUGUUUGACUGCUUUACAUUUCUAUGAUUCUAUCACCAGUCAAGAGAUCAAUCUAAUCUUAAUGUCACCUCUCCACCUGCAGUCUAUCACCAAUUAAGGUCAAGCUCUGUGACAGGGUCACCCUAACUUCCAAGUCUGAUGCAAUCAACAUUCAACACUCAUUAUUUCUUGUGAUGAAUCAAGAUCCCAGAAUUGCUUUACCCUUAACACACUCUCUACAGCAGCUGUAAUUCAACAAAGUAGCACCAGCUUCUCAAAGCAGAAUGUCAGAAGUGAAGAUGUCACCGAUGAUUGCAUGUUUAAUUCCUUUUGUAACGACUCAGAUAAAUAAACUGUUUCUGCCUGAAGGUAAUGAGUCCUGGACAACAUUCAGGCACGUUACCUUCCUCAUCCUCCAGACAUUGGAGGUGGUGGAGGACCACCUCCACCAUGGUUUAUUCGACCCAUCUUUCUCCGUGGAACUCCUGGAGGGCUGUUAAAAAAUUAGGAAUGGGAUAGGCAGUGAUUCUGAACACCUCUGGCAAGAGUCCUGGAUAUUUAAACAUGUCCAGGAAUCAAAAUCUCAUCAAGCC